UUAAGCGACUAAGCGUACACGGUGGAUGCCCUGGCAGUCAGAGGCGAUGAAGGACGUGCUAAUCUGCGAUAAGCGUCGGUAAGGUGAUAUGAACCGUUAUAACCGGCGAUUUCCGAAUGGGGAAACCCAGUGUGAUUCGUCACACUAUCAUUAACUGAAUCCAUAGGUUAAUGAGGCGAACCGGGGGAACUGAAACAUCUAAGUACCCCGAGGAAAAGAAAUCAACCGAGAUUCCCCCAGUAGCGGCGAGCGAACGGGGAGCAGCCCAGAGCCUGAAUCAGUGUGUGUGUUAGUGGAAGCGUCUGGAAAGGCGCGCGAUACAGGGUGACAGCCCCGUACACAAAAAUGCACAUACUGUGAGCUCGAUGAGUAGGGCGGGACACGUGGUAUCCUGUCUGAAUAUGGGGGGACCAUCCUCCAAGGCUAAAUACUCCUGACUGACCGAUAGUGAACCAGUACCGUGAGGGAAAGGCGAAAAGAACCCCGGCGAGGGGAGUGAAAAAGAACCUGAAACCGUGUACGUACAAGCAGUGGGAGCCUCUUAAUGGGGUGACUGCGUACCUUUUGUAUAAUGGGUCAGCGACUUAUAUUCUGUAGCAAGGUUAACCGAAUAGGGGAGCCGAAGGGAAACCGAGUCUUAACUGGGCGUUAAGUUGCAGGGUAUAGACCCGAAACCCGGUGAUCUAGCCAUGGGCAGGUUGAAGGUUGGGUAACACUAACUGGAGGACCGAACCGACUAAUGUUGAAAAAUUAGCGGAUGACUUGUGGCUGGGGGUGAAAGGCCAAUCAAACCGGGAGAUAGCUGGUUCUCCCCGAAAGCUAUUUAGGUAGCGCCUCGUGAAUUCAUCUCCGGGGGUAGAGCACUGUUUCGGCAAGGGGGUCAUCCCGACUUACCAACCCGAUGCAAACUGCGAAUACCGGAGAAUGUUAUCACGGGAGACACACGGCGGGUGCUAACGUCCGUCGUGAAGAGGGAAACAACCCAGACCGCCAGCUAAGGUCCCAAAGUCAUGGUUAAGUGGGAAACGAUGUGGGAAGGCCCAGACAGCCAGGAUGUUGGCUUAGAAGCAGCCAUCAUUUAAAGAAAGCGUAAUAGCUCACUGGUCGAGUCGGCCUGCGCGGAAGAUGUAACGGGGCUAAACCAUGCACCGAAGCUGCGGCAGCGACGCUUAUGCGUUGUUGGGUAGGGGAGCGUUCUGUAAGCCUGCGAAGGUGUGCUGUGAGGCAUGCUGGAGGUAUCAGAAGUGCGAAUGCUGACAUAAGUAACGAUAAAGCGGGUGAAAAGCCCGCUCGCCGGAAGACCAAGGGUUCCUGUCCAACGUUAAUCGGGGCAGGGUGAGUCGACCCCUAAGGCGAGGCCGAAAGGCGUAGUCGAUGGGAAACAGGUUAAUAUUCCUGUACUUGGUGUUACUGCGAAGGGGGGACGGAGAAGGCUAUGUUGGCCGGGCGACGGUUGUCCCGGUUUAAGCGUGUAGGCUGGUUUUCCAGGCAAAUCCGGAAAAUCAAGGCUGAGGCGUGAUGACGAGGCACUACGGUGCUGAAGCAACAAAUGCCCUGCUUCCAGGAAAAGCCUCUAAGCAUCAGGUAACAUCAAAUCGUACCCCAAACCGACACAGGUGGUCAGGUAGAGAAUACCAAGGCGCUUGAGAGAACUCGGGUGAAGGAACUAGGCAAAAUGGUGCCGUAACUUCGGGAGAAGGCACGCUGAUAUGUAGGUGAAGUCCCUUGCGGAUGGAGCUGAAAUCAGUCGAAGAUACCAGCUGGCUGCAACUGUUUAUUAAAAACACAGCACUGUGCAAACACGAAAGUGGACGUAUACGGUGUGACGCCUGCCCGGUGCCGGAAGGUUAAUUGAUGGGGUUAGCGGUAACGCGAAGCUCUUGAUCGAAGCCCCGGUAAACGGCGGCCGUAACUAUAACGGUCCUAAGGUAGCGAAAUUCCUUGUCGGGUAAGUUCCGACCUGCACGAAUGGCGUAAUGAUGGCCAGGCUGUCUCCACCCGAGACUCAGUGAAAUUGAACUCGCUGUGAAGAUGCAGUGUACCCGCGGCAAGACGGAAAGACCCCGUGAACCUUUACUAUAGCUUGACACUGAACAUUGAGCCUUGAUGUGUAGGAUAGGUGGGAGGCUUUGAAGUGUGGACGCCAGUCUGCAUGGAGCCGACCUUGAAAUACCACCCUUUAAUGUUUGAUGUUCUAACGUUGGCCCCUAAUCGGGGUUGCGGACAGUGUCUGGUGGGUAGUUUGACUGGGGCGGUCUCCUCCUAAAGAGUAACGGAGGAGCACGAAGGUUGGCUAAUCCUGGUCGGACAUCAGGAGGUUAGUGCAAUGGCAUAAGCCAGCUUGACUGCGAGCGUGACGGCGCGAGCAGGUGCGAAAGCAGGUCAUAGUGAUCCGGUGGUUCUGAAUGGAAGGGCCAUCGCUCAACGGAUAAAAGGUACUCCGGGGAUAACAGGCUGAUACCGCCCAAGAGUUCAUAUCGACGGCGGUGUUUGGCACCUCGAUGUCGGCUCAUCACAUCCUGGGGCUGAAGUAGGUCCCAAGGGUAUGGCUGUUCGCCAUUUAAAGUGGUACGCGAGCUGGGUUUAGAACGUCGUGAGACAGUUCGGUCCCUAUCUGCCGUGGGCGCUGGAGAACUGAGGGGGGCUGCUCCUAGUACGAGAGGACCGGAGUGGACGCAUCACUGGUGUUCGGGUUGUCAUGCCAAUGGCACUGCCCGGUAGCUAAAUGCGGAAGAGAUAAGUGCUGAAAGCAUCUAAGCACGAAACUUGCCCCGAGAUGAGUUCUCCCUGACUCCCUGAGAGUCCUGAAGGAACGUUGAAGACGACGACGUUGAUAGGCCGGGUGUGUAAGCGCAGCGAUGCGUUGAGCUAACCGGUACUAAUGAACCGUGAGGCUUAACCUU
rnacentral:rRNA from 34 species